UCAGUUACCCACGGAUAAAUCCGUGGGAUUGUGAAAACAAUCCCAUAGCUGAAUAGCCUAAGCCUUGAAACAAAGACUACGUUAUCCGGGAAUGUAUAGGUACCAGUGGGCGUUAUACCUAACUCUCUGCUCUA
rnacentral:sRNA from 1 species